UGGGGAAUUUUGGACAAUGGACGCAAGUCUGAUCCAGCCAUGCCGCGUGCGGGAAGAAGGCCUUCGGGUUGUAAACCGCUUUUGUCAGGGAAGAAACGAGUUUCUCUAAUACAGAAGGCUAAUGACGGUACCGUAAGAAUAAGCACCGGCUAACUACGUGCCAGCAGCCGCGGUAAUACGUAGGGUGCGAGCGUUAAUCGGAAUUACUGGGCGUAAAGCGUGCGCAGGCGGUUUUGUAAGACAGAGGUGAAAUCCCCGGGCUCAACCUGGGAAUUGCCUUUGUGACUGCAAGACUUGGGUGCGGCAGAGGGGGAUGGAAUUCCGCGUGUAGCAGUGAAAUGCGUAGAUAUGCGGAGGAACACCGAUGGCGAAGGCAAUCCCCUGGGCCUGCACAGACGCUCAUGCACGAAAGCGUGGGGAGCAAACA
rnacentral:rRNA from 1 species